CUGUAGUUUAGUUCAAUCAGCUCACUUUGUUAGGGCUUUUAAUUCUUGCCACCUGAUUCAGUUUACAGGUGAGAUGUGUUAAGUGGAUGAUUUCUUAAUGGAUCUGCACACACACAAUUUUUGACAUUUGGGGGGAGGGGAAUUCCCUCUUUUAUUGUGCCAGCAAUGUUGUUUGGCUAACAAAAGGUGUAAAGUAAGUACCCCAACAGCAAAGAAUUUGUGUGUAGAUCUGUUUGUAAAGAUUGUACUACUACACAAUGGACAUAACUACACCAUUGGAAUAGUCAACACAACAGACAACUGGAAUCAAUUACUAUAAUAUAUUUUGGUUUACAUUUUUAGGAGACGCAGGAUAUGGACUUCUGCCUUGGUUGAUGACCCCUGUGAGGUUUGCCCAAACACCUGCCCAACGUAGGUACAAUCGUGCCCAUCAGAAGACACGUAAUAUCAUUGAGCGCCUCUUUGGGGUGCUCAAAUCUCGCUUCCGAUGCCUCUCAGUCACUGGGGGAGCUCUGCUUUAUUCCCCCCAGAAGGUUUCACAAAUCAUCACUGUCUGUGCCAUGCUGCAUAAUGUGGCAAGGCAGCAUGGAUUACCUGCAGACAUUGAUGAUGACCUGGAACCUGAGAUUGAGGGGUAUGUUGCCAGACAGAGGGACAACCAACCAGAGGGAAGAAGAGUGCGUGAAAGGCUCAUCCGUGCCCACUUUUAGUUCCUGCUGAUGGUGAUGUGCUGGCGUGCCCCUAGCAGUGAAUGCUUUCCUGUAACAUCUUAUGCUCUUUCUGGCCUCCUACUGUGUUAUGGUUGUGGUUCAUGUGUGUCGUACUCAACUUUAUUAUCUUGGUACUUGCCCACAGAGGAUACAGACAUGGACACUGACUGAUUGGCCACACCUCAAACUCCUUUAUUCAGGUAUUUAGGAAUUACUCAGGGAAUGUAAAAAUAUAUUGCUAACAACUUACCAUAUUAUUGAUGUGACUUUGCAGCCUCUCCAUGUGCAAACUUUUCCUGACCCACUAAAUUGGACUCAACACAACAGACAGAUGUGAUGAACUGAAAGCUGUUUGGCUCAUUUGAACCUGGGUGGAGUCACCUUUCAAUAACAUAUCAGUAAGUGGCAGUGUUUGUUUAGCAAUGACAGGCUUUUGUGUGGCUACUUAAAUUUUUUUGGAUUUGUGUUAAUGCAUUUUUCUUGUUUGAUCCACAGGUAUGGCUUCUUCUGUUUUCUUGCUUGAAAUGACAUUACCCAUGUUACUAUUUUGGACUAGCACCUUGUCAAAAAAUAAAAAACAAACACACCCAGUAAUGUUUUAGUGGCUUUACUGACACAAUCUUGGUCAAAAUCCAAAACAGUUGAA